GCGCUAUCUCUUGACGUUAGCAACAGAAGAAGCACCGGCUAACUCCGUGCCAGCAGCCGCGGUAAUACGGAGGGUGCGAGCGUUAAUCGGAAUUACUGGGCGUAAAGCGCAUGCAGGUGGUUCAUUAAGUCAGAUGUGAAAGCCCGGGGCUCAACCUCGGAACUGCAUUUGAAACUGGUGAACUAGAGUACUGUAGAGGGGGGUAGAAUUUCAGGUGUAGCGGUGAAAUGCGUAGAGAUCUGAAGGAAUACCAGUGGCGAAGGCGGCCCCCUGGACAGAUACUGACACUCAGAUGCGAAAGCGUGGGGAGCAAACAGGAUUAGAUACCCUGGUAGUCCACGCCGUAAACGAUGUCUACUUGGAGGUUGUGGCCUUGAGCCGUGGCUUUCGGAGCUAACGCGUUAAGUAGACCGCCUGGGGAGUACGGUCGCAAGAUUAAAACUCAAAUGAAUUGACGGGGGCCCGCACAAGCGGUGGAGCAUGUGGUUUAAUUCGAUGCAACGCGAAGAACCUUACCUACUCUUGACAUCCAGAGAAGCCAGCGGAGACGCAGGUGUGCCUUCGGGAGCUCUGAGACAGGUGCUGCAUGGCUGUCGUCAGCUCGUGUUGUGAAAUGUUGGGUUAAGUCCCGCAACGAGCGCAACCCUUAUCCUUGUUUGCCAGCGAGUAAUGUCGGGAACUCCAGGGAGACUGCCGGUGAUAAACCGGAGGAAGGUGGGGACGACGUCAAGUCAUCAUGGCCCUUACGAGUAGGGCUACACACGUGCUACAAUGGCGCAUACAGAGGGCAGCAAGCUAGCGAUAGUGAGCGAAUCCCAAAAAGUGCGUCGUAGUCCGGAUUGGAGUCUGCAACUCGACUCCAUGAAGUCGGAAUCGCUAGUAAUCGUAGAUCAGAAUGCUACGGUGAAUACGUUCCCGGGCCUUGUACACACCGCCCGUCACACCAUGGGAGUGGGCUGCAAAAGAAGUGGGUAGUUUAACCUUUCGGGGAGGACGCUCACCACUUUGUGGUUCAUGACUGGGGUGAAGUCGUAACAAGGUAGCCCUAGGGGAACCUGGGGCUGGAUCACCUCCUUAUACGAAGAUA
rnacentral:rRNA from 1 species